UACGGAGGGUGCGAGCGUUGUCCGGAAUCACUGGGCGUAAAGGGCGCGUAGGCGGCCGUGUAAGUCACUUGUGAAAUCCCGGGGCUCAACUCCGGGGCUGCAGGUGAGACUGCAUGGCUAGAGCUCGGUAGAGGCGAGUGGAAUUCCUGGUGUAGCGGUGAAAUGCGUAGAUAUCUGGAGGAACACCGGUGGCGAAGGCGGCAUCCUGGACCGGCAUUGACGCUGAGGCGCGAAAGCCAGGGGAGCAAAGCCGG
rnacentral:rRNA from 1 species